rnacentral:rRNA from 1 species
GACGUAGGGGGCCAGCGUUGUUCGGAAUUACUGGGUGUAAAGGGUUCGUAGGCGGUGUAGCAAGUUGGGAGUGAAAUCUCUGGGCUCAACUCAGAGGCUGCUUCCAAAACUGCUGUGCUGGAGUGUGGGAGAGGCGCGUGGAAUUGCAGGUGUAGCGGUGAAAUGCGUAGACAUCUGCAGGAACACCCGUGGCGAAAGCGGCGCGCUGGACCACUACUGACGCUGAGGAACGAAAGCUAGGGGAG